rnacentral:rRNA from 1 species
CCUACUUGGAUAACUGUGGUAAUUCUAGAGCUAAUACAUGCAACAAGCUCUGACCUUACGGGAGGAGCGCAUUUAUUAGAACAAAACCAAUCGGACUUCGGUCCGUCACUUGGUGAGUCUGAAUAACUUUGCCGAUCGCAUGGUCCUCGAACCGGCGACGCAUCUUUCAAAUGUCUGCCUUAUCAACUUUCGAUGGUAGUUUAUGCGCCUACCAUGGUUGUAACGGGUAACGGGGAAUAAGGGUUCGACUCCGGAGAGGGAGCCUGAGAAACGGCUACCACAUCCAAGGAAGGCAGCAGGCACGCAAAUUACCCACUCCCGGCACGGGGAGGUAGUGACGAAAAAUAACGAGACGGUUCUCUACGAGGCCCGUCAUCGGAAUGGGUACAAUUUAAAUCCUUUAACGAGGAUCUAUUGGAGGGCAAGUCUGGUGCCAGCAGCCGCGGUAAUUCCAGCUCCAAUAGCGUAUAUUAAAGUUGUUGCGGUUAAAAAGCUCGUAGUUGGAUCUGCGGCCUAGGAAGGUGGUCCCCCAAUGGGUGGUUACUGCUUUUCCUGGCCUACUUCUCCGGUUUUCCCUUGGUGCUCUUCAUUGAGUGUCUUGGGUGGCUGGAACGUUUACUUUGAAAAAAUUAGAGUGCUCAAAGCAGGCGGUUAAGCCUGAAUAGUGGUGCAUGGAAUAAUGGAAUAGGACCUCGGUUCUAUUUUGUUGGUUUUCGGAGCUCGAGGUAAUGAUUAAGAGGGACAGACGGGGGCGUUUGAA